UACGUAGGGGGCAAGCGUUGUCCGGAAUCAUUGGGCGUAAAGAGCGUGUAGGCGGUCCGGUAAGUCGGCUGUGAAAGUCCAGGGCUCAACCCUGGGAUGCCGGUCGAUACUGCCGGACUAGAGUUCGGAAGAGGCGAGUGGAAUUCCUGGUGUAGCGGUGAAAUGCGCAGAUAUCAGGAGGAACACCAAUGGCGAAGGCAGCUCGCUGGGACGUGACUGACGCUGAGACGCGAAAGCGUGGGGAGCAAACAGG
rnacentral:rRNA from 1 species